CUAAUUGAUAAGAAGCUCUGAUGGGAGCCUUGGAGGAAGCUGGCUCCUCACCGAACUUACUAAAGGGAGGCUGGAAAAGGAAAUAGCUGUUGUUGGAAGGGGGGAAGGCUUUGGUUAUCGAUUUCUUUUUUCUGUUGUUGUUUGCUUGGUGUUGUUUGUUUUGGGUUUUUUGGUCAUGAUUUGGAAAUGUGCUAUUAGGCAAGUGGAAGAAUUGAAAAACAGAACCAAGAGAGUUAUGUUGUGGGUCGAGGUUGCAAUGAAACAAGCAAAAAUACCCAGAAGGAGGUUUUCCAAAAGCAGAUGUCUUAAGGACCUUCCUGAGUCUCGAAUUCAGGCUCUUGGCCCUGAUGAAGCAGAAGCUGCCUGCAGGCAGCUUUUGGACAGCUGGAUGAAGAUAUCACUCGUCAAGCGUCAGCCCUCUCCAGGUGGCAUGGAUCUUCAUUUGGAUUUCAGGAGACAUAAACAACAGCAGCUUGUGAAGGCAACGCUUCUGUGAAGGAUGCCUCCCAUCUUUGAACAAUGAAGCCGUGAUACCCUCUGGAGACCCGGAGCUGCUGGAAGUAACCUAAGGCAUCCCCUCCCUUUCAGCACAGGCUCAGGGUUGAAGUGCAGGGAAGGUUGCAGGCAGGACCAGCUGUAGCUCAGGCAGCAGCCUCAAGAGGGAGAGAAGGCUUUCUCACAGGCUUUUAUGACCAAUGUUCAAAGGGAAAUGCCUUUAGAGAAGAAAAGGCCGGGCUUUCUGGCUGUACUAAACUCAGACCUGCAAAUCUGUUCUGUGGCUUUGCUUUCCCUGAUGCUUCUCUUCUACCUAAUCCUUCCCUUUUCUCCUGCUGAUGGCUGGGGACUUCUUUUCUCAGCCUGGGGGCUUUAAAGCUUAGCCUGGGAUGAGGAGUCUCACCUAAACAGAUUCAAAUCUGCACCUUUUCUCCUCGGUCAUCAUCCCUGUGUUUGACAGACAAAUAGCCUGGACAGGAGGGGAACGAACUGAUUAUUUCCCUUGAACUGAAGGACGCCCUGGCCCUGUGUGGUUGAUCACUGGACAAGAGCAGCACAAUUGGACAAAUGACCAAUAUAAUAGCUAACAAAUGGAAAGCUCUGCUGCCAGCAAAGGAGCUGGCUAUUUAAAGGCAGCAAGAGGUUUGCAGCACCAGCCCUAGCAACAAGGACAAAAGUUAUUCCAAACACAUGAGGCAAAGCCACCAUGAACCCACUGUAGCAUGCUAUUAAUAGGAAGGGGGCCUUCAUUAAUUUCUUAAAGGGUGAUGCCAAAACAUCAGAAGAAAUUUGUGGUGCACAUAAAGGAGCAGCACGUUGCACUGUAUCUAAUUGCCAGAGUAAUUAUUUUCUGCUAUGCAAAUUACCAGGAGCAAAUCCACUACAGUACAUCUAUGUGUAUUUAAUUAUCAUCAAGAGCUGGAGUUGAGGGACUAGAUUUAAUAUGUUCAUAAUGAAAUAGCCAGAAUUUGUGUGUGCAUUUGCAGGGAACUCGUUAUUUUGCCACAGCUGGAUUUGUUUAUUUUAAAUAAAUCAUUAUGGCAGAUACAGUUUCUGCGUGCUUGCCCAUCUGCUGAUUUAUCGUAAAAAUUGUGGUUUCAUUUCUAUGGGUGGUUUCUAUCAAACACACAUCACCCCUCUUGCUUGCAAGCUGGAUGUUUCUGUAGGAUUUAAGGAGUAGCUCAAUGCAAAGAAAAGCCAUUUUGUCCAUGGAUAAAUAAAGGCUGGAGAAAUAGAAGGAAUUAGGACCACCUGGGUGGGUUAAGAUUUUGUAAGGUUUUGGGUCUUCAUACUUACAAGCUUGUUGUGGUUUAAAACUGGGACAAGGAUGAAAACUGGAAUUUUAGAAGCACCCAUUUGUAAGCCAAACCUCUUACUGUUCAAUGUCUAUUUGAUGGUGUGCAUGAGGCAAGUUAAUGCUUUUGGUUUCUAGGGAAUAUUUUAUAUUUUCUCAUCAUAGCAAGAAACAAUAGAAGUGUACACAGGAUGCAGGAUUAUCACUCUGGGCCUGACAUGGCUCUUCUCCUCUUAAGCUUCAGACUUUCUGGGCCAGAGCUUUACUAAAGAUAUUGGGAUAUCAUUUCAAGGCUCAAGUUAUAAGAAAAAUAUUAAAACUGGGAAGAAAUACUUUUGCCACUUUGUCAUAUUUUGGUGGUUUUCUGUUAAUGGAACUCUUGGAAGAAAAAAAAAAAUCUGAAAUCCAG